UUAGGCCCACCAAAAAAUAAAAUGUUUAAAUUUCAUUAAUUAAAAGACAAAUUAAAUUUGGGUGAAUCUUGUUUACAGUUUUCCAUACUUUUAUUACUUGUGGAAAAACUUGAAACACAAUUUUAAAUAAGCAUAAAGAAUGGCAUUGAUUUUUGUACAUUUUAUUUUUGUUUGACUUAUAGUGUGAAAUAGUGUUUUUUAAUUAGCAUGUUUUUGUGUAUUGCUUUGGUACCAAAAUUGGUACCGAGAACCGUGGAUUUUCACUGGUAUUGGUACCGAAUACAGAAAUUUUGGUACCGUGACAACACUAACUGUGGCUGUAUCUGAAAUCGCCCCUAUACCCUCAUUCACUAUUCCCUACAUUAGUCCACUCAUACAAUUCACUUGAAGGAGUGAAUGAAAACGAGUGAGUGAAUUCGGACACUGAGUGCACCGGAAUGACUGCCGCUUUGCUUGCUGUUUAAUAAUCAUUUGAAACGGGCAGCUCCAGUAGUAAGAAUAAAGGAUUUAUUUUGAACUCACGGAAAUUAUGUAUAAACCAUAGUUAAACAAUUUAAUAAUCAAUUUACAAUUCAUUUGUACCCGUGUUGUAUUACACCGUGGACGAGCGUUUUUAAAAUGAAUGGAUGAUUCAGCUACAGGCGCCAUUUUCUGGCGAGAUUCAGGAAUUCACUCGGUGUGCGACUCACAGUGCAUUAUGGGUUAUCUCUAGCCGUUGAGUAUACAUCGGUUGUACACUCAUUUUUGCAGUGCAUUGUGGGAUUGAAUGUGUGCACUCGAGAACGUCCACUAUGGUUACGGACACCACUAAAAAUGGCUGUCCACUCAAAUAGUGCCCUAUUUGAGGGAAUAGGGGGCGAUUUCGGAUACAGCCUAAAUACUUGGUGUUUCGGGUCUGACGUCAUUAAGCGGGCGUGGUUUGUUUGCUAGGUCAAGGAGCAUGCGCAGUUUAAGAAUUCAGCUUGGUGUCUCAGGUUGUGUGUGUGUGUGUGUGUGCUUGGUGUCUCAGGUUGUGUGUGUGUGUGCUUGGUGUCUCAGGUUGUGUGUGUGUGUGUGCUUGGUGUCUCAGGUUGUGUGUGUGUGUGUGUGUGUGUGUGUGUGUGUGUGUGUGUGCGUGCGUGCUUGCUUGGUGUCUCAGGUUGUGUGUGUGUGCUCGGUGUCUCAGGUUGUGUGGGUGUGUGUGUGUGUGUGUGUGUGUGCGCGCUUGCUUGGUGUCUCAGGUUGUGUGUGUGCGUGCUUGGUGUCUCAUUUAUAAUUGUUAAUAAAUAGACCUUUUAUAAAUUGAAUUAUUGAAGAGUCACCUGAAAUGCACAUAAAUGAUAUGUACAGGAUAUGCUGUAAGUGUUGCAAUACUUGUUCGUGGAUCUGUUUAAAUGAUUUACUUGCUGCUAGGAAGGAAUACUUUGUUUCCUACCUAUUUCUAUUCUGCAUUUUCGUUGAGGUUUAUAAUUUUGAUUGCACUUACUGGUAAUUAUAAUAAUUUGCACCUCAGCUCACUGCAAAAAAUGCUUUUCUUACUUAGAUUUUUUGUCUUGUUUCCAGCCAAAAUAUCUAAAAAUUCUUAAAUCAAGAAGGAUUUUCUAGACCAGUAAAAAUUAUUGUCAAAAUUAAGUGAGUUUUUGCUUAGAACAAACAAAAUAAUCUGCCAAAGGGGUAAGAAAAUUAAUCUUAUUUCAAACAGAAAACAAGAUUGAGGUACGAGCACUUCGUCUGUCUGAUUGCCUCUUCAAGAUGAAUCGCUUAUGUAUUCCCCAAUUGUAAGUCGCUUUGGAUAAAAGCGUCUGCAAAAUGAAUAAAUGUAAAUGUAAAUAUGCUGUGGCAUCUUUUUUCAGUUAUUAAUAAUAUAGAUAUUAUUCUUGUUAUUGUUCAGGUCUCAUGUGUGCAUUAUGGCAGACCAGACCAAAACUACUCUAGGUGAGCGUAGAACACUAUGAAAUCAAGUUCAGUUUCUAAUUCAGAUUCAAAACUAUUAAAAUGCAGUCUUCUCCCUACUCCCAUCUAGUCACACAAUAUAAUUACAGUUAGCUUUAAUAUAUGUGUGUGUAUAUAUACAUCAUAAACAUAUACAGUACAUAACACAUAUACUUUUUUUUUUUUUUUCAAAGAAUGGCUCCCAGCUUGUUUUAAAGUCCUGAAGUUUUCAAAAACACAUGUAUCUGGCUUCGUCACCAACAAAGCUGACCACAAGAGAGAAACACGGACAUCAUUUGUUGCUUGGUCUGAUGAUUAAAAAAAAGAAGAAAAAAAAAAGAAAGAGAAGGGGCCACAUCGUCUGGUUUGGCAGGUGGAAGAUUUGUCUGAGAAUGUACCUCUUGCUGUUACGAACUGAGCAAUUCAUUGUUAGCAUGGCAAUCCACAAAAGAAUUGCAAAACUAUGGAGGUAAGAUUUAGGAUAUAAUUUUUUCAUUAUAAAUAUAAUUUCAAAGUGGUUUUACAGAGAAUUCUCCCUUAUAGAAUACAACAUACCAUUAGGAUUUUUUUCUGUUUAACAGCUGUUUCAAUGUAUUAUAUUCUUACAUAUUUGAACUUUUUCCAGAUUCGAUAAAUUCAGUGUUAAAAAAAGAGCUUCAAAAGAGAGGAAACAAAUCAUCAUGGACACAAAUGAAGCAGAGUCAUCUGAAAUAAUUCAUAUCAGCUUACCACUUUGAUCGCGUCACGUCAUUGUUCAGUACAAUUUAUUCGGUCUUUUCACUUCCAAACCCACCUAUAGGGACAGAGGUCCACCCAACAUAGUCUCACAAAACCUUGUGGGAACUUAAAUACUUAAAAAAAUUAAAAAUAAAAUAGCGAAAAAUAGCAAGAAAGCUGUGAUACUGUCUAAUGUUCCUGAACCAGUAGGCCGUGGAGUGAAGGGUGUGAUGUGUUGUGUGGGUGAAACACUGAAGCGCAGGUCGUGGAUGAUUUCACAUACAAAAGAUCUAAAAAAAGAUCUUUCGUAUCUGAAAAGAUCCACCAGCAAAAGCAAAGAAGACACUUGCCAGGUUAAACAGUCAUUUGAGUGUGUUGAAAUGGACCUCAUUGGCAAACUAACAAUGACAGACAAUGGCAGUCCGUACUGUAAUUGAU